UGGGGAAUUUUGGACAAUGGGCGCAAGCCUGAUCCAGCAAUGCCGCGUGCAGGAUGAAGGCCUUCGGGUUGUAAACUGCUUUUGUACGGAACGAAAAGGCUCUGGCUAAUACCUGGGGCACAUGACGGUACCGUAAGAAUAAGCACCGGCUAACUACGUGCCAGCAGCCGCGGUAAUACGUAGGGUGCGAGCGUUAAUCGGAAUUACUGGGCGUAAAGCGUGCGCAGGCGGUUUUGUAAGACAGAGGUGAAAUCCCCGGGCUCAACCUGGGAACUGCCUUUGUGACUGCAAGGCUGGAGUGCGGCAGAGGGGGAUGGAAUUCCGCGUGUAGCAGUGAAAUGCGUAGAUAUGCGGAGGAACACCGAUGGCGAAGGCAAUCCCCUGGGCCUGCACUGACGCUCACGCACGAAAGCGUGGGGAGCAAACAGGAUUAGAUACCCUGGUAGUCCACGCCCUAAACGAUGUCAACUGGUUGUUGGGUCUUAAUUGACUCAGUAACGAAGCUAACGCGUGAAGUUGACCGCCUGGGGAGUACGGCCGCAAGGUUGAAACUCAAAUGAAUUGACGGGGUCAUAGCUG
rnacentral:rRNA from 1 species